GAUGAACGCUGGCGGCGUGCCUAAUACAUGCAAGUCGAGCGAACGGACGAGAAGCUUGCUUCUCUGAUGUUAGCGGCGGACGGGUGAGUAACACGUGGAUAACCUACCUAUAAGACUGGGAUAACUUCGGGAAACCGGAGCUAAUACCGGAUAAUAUUUUGAACCGCAUGGUUCAAAAGUGAAAGACGGUCUUGCUGUCACUUAUAGAUGGAUCCGCGCUGCAUUAGCUAGUUGGUAAGGUAACGGCUUACCAAGGCAACGAUGCAUAGCCGACCUGUGAGGGGGAUCGGCGACACGAGAGCUGGGACGCGGACAAGAGUCCUACGGGAGGCAGCAGUAGGGAAUGUUACGCAAUGGGCGGAAACAUGACGGAGCAACGGCACGUGAGUGAUGGAAAUCUUCCGAGCGGAAAAAUCUGUUAUUAGUGAAGAACAGAUGUGUAAGUAACUGUGCACAGCGUGACGGUACCUAAUCAGGAAGCCACGGCUAACUACGUG
rnacentral:rRNA from 1 species